UUUUCCAAAACACAUCACGUGGCCAUAGGGAGACAAAAUAGCAUGACAAAAGAUACCUUCUUGAUUUACUCCAAGGGUCUACCACCAUCAUGUCAUAAAUAAAGCCACUUACACUUCUUCUUCAUCACAAUACAAACCCCAACAUUGCAGUUUAAUUCAUCUAAAAUCAAUCACGAUUCAACUUGAAAUUCUUCUAAGCUAGCUUUAGACUGCUUCAAAUUCUCAUUAUUCAAAACGAAAAGUUUAUGGAAGUUUUUCAAAUGUAACUUAUCUUUUUGAAUUAUGAGAACUUGAAGCAUACUUAUGUCUGAAGCAGCUUUGAAGAAUAUUUGAUUGAACCAUGUAAGAGUGAGUUUUAGAUGAAAUAAAUUAAUGGCAAAAUUCCAGAAAAAGAUAAACAACCCUAGAUUAAAAAUGUUUAUUUUGAUUUUGAUACAUGCUGCCUCUAUUGAAGUCUUUUAAUAAAACUGAAUCUUGCCUCCGCGGCUCCGCCAUCAAUGAUGUCAGACUCGAUCUUUGAACUGCAAAAAUUAGCAGCAUGUUUCGUUUGGGAGAAAAGAUAGAAUGUGGAAUUCGAUAGACAUGAUCCGUAGUUUACUGGAUCGUCCACUGAGCCACGUUCUAUAUUUUCUCCCACCCAAAACCUGCGUUACCAUCAGCCUUCUAUCUCGAAGAUGGUGUUGUUACAUUUGACAACAUCUCUUUGUUCUGGACUUCUCUAGCCACUCGUUCCACAGGGUUAUUCCUACUGUUUUUUAAUGCCAUGGAUCUACUUAUGAAUGGAAAUAUGAGAAACUGGUCAAACAACAAAGUAUGAGUAUAACCUUGAAGCAUUAUAGUUGCAAAGGAAGGAGAACGAUUGCUCAAUAAAAUUAGGAUAAGAACCUUACAAUUUUUGGUUUGUUUUCACAAAGAUCUAACGUCGUUAACCUUCAAGGGAUGUAUGCGUCACAUUCAAAAUAAAAUAAGGGAGGUUCUGUCAUUUUGCAAAAUAAAUGGGGUGUGAGUGACAUUUUUGCAAAACUCAGAGGAGGUUGAUGCAAUUUACCCUUAAAUUUA